AUGGCAAAAAGACAAAAGAAAAAAAGACACAGGAACCUAAAAAAUUGCCUACAGUGAAUUAACGGGCAUUCACCCAACUCAAGUUAGCAUUUAAAUGUUUAUUUAUGGUAAGAGGAGAAAGGAAAAAAAUAAAUAUUUUGAUAAAUAACAAUUUUGAUAAAUAAACAUUAGUUUAGAAGGAGAUAUAAUUUUAUUUUGAAAUUUUAAUUGGUGAUGAUGAUGAUUGGUAAGGAAAUCACAAUUUAAUUGGGAGACACCUGACUUUUUUUUUGCUUUCUCUGGUUGCUCUUGGGCAUGGUGGUUUAAUGCUAAGAUGUUUUUUCUUUCCCGUUUUUAAAGUUUCAUUGAAGUCGAGCUGAUUUACAAUGUCGUGAUCAUUUCCGCUGUACCACAACGUGAUUCAGUUAUACACGUACACCCAUCCAUUCUCUUGCAGAUUCUUUGGCCACAUAGCUGAUCACAGAACAUUGGGUCGAGUUCCCUGUGCAGGUCCCCUUGGCCAGUCAUCCCAUGUACCUCAGUGUGCACAUGCCAGUCCCAAACCCGAGUCCAUCCCUUCUCCCACCCAGCCUGUCCCCUUUGGUAGCCGUCAGUUUGUUUUCAGAGUCUGUGAGUCUUAAAAUAACUAACAUUUAAACUAUAUUUUCAUGUGUGCUUUACAGUCUGCUUUACUCAUGGUCUCGUUGGAUGCUUGUAACUGAGUGGGCAAGUGUUGUCAACGCUGUUCUUCAAAGAGAAGCUACAGGGUUUAUCCCAGGUCACACAGUGAUGGGCAGAGGCAGGACUUCAACCUAGAUCUUCUGACCUAAAGAGCAGUUCCGCAUGAGGAACCGCCGCUACCCAUAGGAAUAUGAGCUAAAAUUAGGAGUUGAGAACCAUGCUUUAAAAUUCAAAUAUUAGAUUUUGGGGCCCAGAUGAAGCCACGGAUGGCUGAGAGCUGCACCUUGAAGUGAGUAAGGAAGAGAGCAGGUGGAACAGAGGGGAAAAGCCAACCGAGCUCACCCUGCAACAAGGUGAAGGGGUCAAAGAAGAGUGGGCAGGGAAUUGUCUGCGAUGUGCGAAUGAGAGUUGUCAUCUCCUAGAGAAGUCGAAAGCCUGUGUUCUAAGACUGCAGUGCGUUUAAAGUGGAGGCGGGAAAAAUAAGGGGACCAGAUUCCUUGCAAAAUAGAAGAGUUUUCACCUGGUCAAGGAUGAGACAGCUGUUUAUGUUUCAACUUUGUACACACGCUUACAGAGAGUAACUGCUUUCAGUACCCGGAAUAGUGGUACAGCUGGGGUUGACUACCCCAAAAGCCAUUCAUGAACCAGGGAAAUAGAGACUUAUUUAUUUAUUUAUUUACUUAUUUUUUAUUCAUUUACUUAUUUAAAGAACUCUAGGAGGGGUGCAAAUUAUGAAGCGUCCAAACUCCUGGUUUUAGUCCUUCUAACUUUCUUCUGUUUAGUUGGUUGACCACUAAGUGCCUGUUGCCCUUGCUCCCUGCUCCCCAGUAACAGCACAGAGUCUGUACCUCCUGCAGCCAGGAGUGCAGUGGUUUCAGGUUUUUAAGAGAAACUGUAUGGAGAACAAAAUAAUGCUUCAAAAAUUUUAAAAAAUUGUGUUUUUUUGUUAAAAGCUCUCCCUUUCAUGAAUCAUGUUCCACAACCUGGAGGUUCUCUCUCUCCUCAAAAAUCUUUCCCCGUGUGUUCCUGUUCAUUGAUGACCGCUUCCAUUUCUUCAACCCAUGGGCCACGAAGCUGGAUCCAUUGGAAUCUUUUCAUCCUGUUCUAUAACCUAAGCUUUCAAGUUUCACCUCCAUCACAAUCUUUAACGUGUAUCUUGCUCAGAGACUCAGGCACUGAAAAUGUAGUUUUACAAGUAGAGCUACCAGGAGAGCCCCUUCCCUCUCAAUACCCUGCUGUUUUUUGUUGUCCACCUCUGGCUCUUAAUCCCCAUGAUUCAGCAGGGGGCUGCUGUGAGCACCCUAGGCCUUUUGCACGUUUCACCAGGGUAAUGGGUCGUGUGGCCCAGUGGAUAAGGACAGGGUCUCAGCAAACCCGAGAAACAGAGAUCAAGUUAGUGGUUGCUGGGUGGAAAGUGGAAGAGGUGGGGGGAGGAGAGAUGGGAGUGGCUGCUUAAAGCAUGCAGGGCUUCCUUUUUCAUUGAUGAAAAUAUUCUCAAUCUAGAUAGUGAUAAUGGUUGUCCAAUGCUGUGAGUGUACUAAAUGGCACUGAAUUGUACACUUUAAAAUGGUUAAAAUGGUGAAUUUUAUGUUAUGCGGAUUUUACCACCAUUAAAAAAAAAAAAAUAGAACCUCUGCAUUCUAAGAUUUUCUUCAGACCCCAGUUUUCAUGGUUGGAAGAAAUCAGAGUCUCACACCUGGGGUUUUUCUGUCACCUGUAACCUCACUUGAUGUGCUUUUGACUUUGAAGCAGAAUCGAAUCACUUAACUGUUUUAAUUUUUUUGCAAGCAACCUUCAUUUUUUUUGCAAGCAACCAACUAUACAAAGAAUGUUGUGAUUUUUGUAGAUUUCACUGAUGAAUGGAAGGUGUUUACAGGAGGGGUAACAUUGCGGAAAAGGAAGGAUGGGCCAUAAUGCUCCUUUAUCUCUUUUCUAAUGUUUCCCUUUUCCUUUUGAAGCCUCUCCUUCUCCCUCUUACAGUCCGUACUCUAUUUGCCCCUUCUAAUAUCUGGAGUAACGCCCCUUCGUGUUUGUAGACUCCGCUUUUAUCCCAAGAACUUCUCAAGACAUUCUCCUGACCGGAACUGACCUCCUGGGGGCGCUGAGAGAUGGUGUUCUCUACCACCUACCAGGAUUUACAGCAGCGCAGCUCUUCAGCAUGUUCCAUUUACACUCGACUAGCACUGAGUCUUGGGUGAGGAAUUAGUGAUGCCUGGUAUUUCCCAGCCUGUGGGCAGCCAGAAGGGCAGAAUUAAGACAGCUUUUUCUAAGCUUGUUGUAUACCUAAUACUCCCUAAGUAGAAGAUGUCAGUAGUCUGUGUGACACCCCGUGCCCCAUUCCCCUGGCAGAUGCAGCCAGUGCCAGGGCAUGAGGGUUGUUCUCUGGAUUGAAGGCUGUAGUUCUGUCUGUAGUGGCCCCCCCCGAGCAGGCAACCGUCUCUCCAACAGUUCUUGGCAACCCUGUAAAUAGGUACAUGUUGUCUUUAAGGGAAAGCUUGACCCAUCAGCUCCUUACCCCAUAUUUGAUCUUUUUUAAUGAUUAACUGAAUUAUUUGUUAAAAGAACCACUAAAUUAAAACAAUGAUUGUGAUGCAGAUAGCAUCUCCAGAAGCAAAUCUGUUUAAUCUACAAACUACUCAGAUCAUCUAAAAAUGAUAACAUUUUUAAGGUCUUGCUAUUAUUCAUUACAUUAAAGGUUACUGUUCAAAUGAAUUGCUCAGGAUAGGAAAAAACAAAUUUUACCUUCUGUUCUAAUUGGUGAGUGAUAUGUGAACUAAUCAGAAACCUGUGCCGUGGCCUCCAUUAAGGCACCAGAUGUAUUUGGCUGAGGAGAGAUGUGUUGAACAGCUUCCGCCUGUAAGUGCAGAGGAUAAAUGGAUGGUGACAUCAUUGUACCUUGACAAAUAGAAAUUGUAUCAUGCCCCCUUUUUGCUUUUCAUUACCAAGGAUGAUUUAUUUCAGUGGCUUUCAAUUCAUAAGCCUAUGGAUUGUCUGUAAAGUUAAAAACCUUUUAAAUUUGUAAUUGAAAUAGAAAUGGUUAAUAGCAUUCAUGAGCCACACUAUGUAAUGUUAUUGGAGCUGUUUUUUUCAGUAAAGAUGCAUCAUAAACAGGUGUUGGGAAUUUAUAGCAGGCAAAUUUGUGAGCCUGGCCUUGUUUCCCAGCCAACCAUAAUGCGACAUUAUCGUAAAUGACAUGACAUGCGACCCUGUUGCGUUUCAUCUUCAUCAAAUAUGGAGUAAUACGGGAAGGUCUUGGAAUGAAAAGUUAAAAGAGUUAAUAGAAUUUUUUGUAUCACGAAAAACAAGUGGAGGCUCUCCCAUAACCUUUGUUCUCCCAGUAAAUCCUUUGUUUGUUGAUCUACUUGAUUAUUUUUAGUUUCUGCUCCCUGUGAUGCCUGGGGAUUUCCGUGCAUUUUCUGUUAUUACCCAAGAUUACAUGUCCUUUCUUUUCACCCAGGCCUGUGAAUUUGAGAGCCUGAAAGGAGGCAUGUGCCUGUGCUUGGGUAAUCUAGUCCCUUGUCUAGAUUACAAGGACAGGUCCUAAAUAAGAAGAGCCAUACUGAAGAAGUUUUAUUCAGGAGACAGACUGAGAAGAGAGCCAGAUUACCUCCUGGGACUUUUCAAAAAUGCCUCAUCCCAAGGAACGCCCCAAGGGUCUAGAACUGCCCAUCCCAGGUCAACUGGGAAGAAGGAAAGACAAGAAAAGAACGUACAACCUGCAAAUAAUAGUAAGGGAGUAAGUGGAAAUAUGAAAUAAAUACUGAUGCGCCUGCCCCAUCUGGUCACACAGUGCUUUGAAGAAAGGCCCUUCCUUUGGGGAAAAUGACAAAGAAUUCGGCCUUCAUCAUCAAUGCUGGAGAAUAAGACAGACCUGUUCACUUCCCCUUCGGCAUGUGACGUUUGGAACACAGAUUUACGUGAGGAGCAGGAAAAGAUCAUCUCGGGCUCCUGCUGCUGCUGUCCAGCCUCCCUGGCUCUGUGCGAAGAGUGUCCUCCCAAGGCACCUGGACGUCCCACCUUUGAGAGAGAUUUGCACACACCGUGACCCACGAGCAGGUCCUUGGGGCCAGAAGGAGCCUCCACUGUCAGCACAAGAGCAUCACCGCCAAGUCAGACAGCUUCUUGGAAAAUAAAAAGUGAAGUCGCAGAACAAAACAAAAACUCUCUCUUCAAACUGCUGUCUCUCCCUGCCGUGUGAGGACAACAGUGGAAAAGCAGCCAUCUGCAAGCCAAGAAGAAAGCUCCAACCAGAACCCAGGCAUGCUGGCACCCACAUCUCAGAUGUUUAUCUUCCAGAACUGUAAGAAAAUAACAUAUCUGUUGUUUAAG